rnacentral:rRNA from 1 species
AGCGAACGCUGGCGGCAGGCCUAACACAUGCAAGUCGAACGAAGUCUUCGGACUUAGUGGCGGACGGGUGAGUAACACGUGGGAACGUACCUUUUGGUACGGAACAACUCAGGGAAACUUGAGCUAAUACCGGAUGAGCCCUUAGGGGGAAAGAUUUAUCGCCGAAAGAGCGGCCCGCGUUAGAUUAGCUAGUUGGUGAGGUAAAGGCGCACCAAGGCUACGAUCUAUAGCUGGUCUGAGAGGAUGAUCAGCCACACUGGGACUGAGACACGGCGCAGACUUCGGCGGGAGGCAGCAGUGGGGAAUCUUGCGCCAUGGGCGUAAGCCUGACGCAGCCAUGCCGCGUGAAUGAUGAAGGUCUUAGGAUUGUAAAAUUCUUUUACCAGGGACGAUAAUGACGGUACCUGGAGAAAAAGCCCCGGCUAACUUCGUGCCAGCCGCCGCCGUAACAC